UACGUAGGGACCGAGCGUUGUCCGGAAUCAUUGGGCGUAAAGAGCGUGUAGGCGGCUAUUUAAGUCCUGCGUGAAAUCCUGCGGCUCAACCGCAGACGGUCGUGGGAAACUGGAUGGCUAGAGUGCGGGAGAGGAGAGUGGAAUUCCCGGUGUAGCGGUGAAAUGCGCAGAUAUCGGGAAGAACACCCGUGGCGAAGGCGGCUCUCUGGGACGUGACUGACGCUGAGACGCGAAAGCGUGGGGAGCGAACAGG
rnacentral:rRNA from 1 species